UGUCUUUGUCUUCGUCAAGUAAACGUCUCUUAUUUGUACAUCUGUGUUGAGUGUUAUGUGGGCCUGAAGACCUUACAAUGUGUAUGUGUAUU